UGGUAAGCUUGUUCCAAAAUCAGCUGUGCCUGAUUUUGGCGUGUACAUAAGGGUUAGCGCUAUGCAGGUCUCAGCGCUCUAGCACUUUGUGCUGGUUGGUUCCAUUGGCCGUGCGACCUGAACCUUUAGAAGAACAUGGCCUAGCUGGGCAAAACGUCCCCUCAUGCUGGCAGUAAUAUACUAGUAGUGCCAGCAGAACGUUUCGUGGUACCUGCAGUAACUUAUAAGUACCUUAAAUCCUAUCGUGUCUGAGAUUUCCAUGUGGUCUUUGCCUGGUUGCUAUUGCUAUGUGAUGGCGACGCCCUAGGCUGGAUGCAAGUGUAUUUUUCGCAAGUACUCCCUCCGUUCCAAAUUACUGUUGCAGCAAUGGAUGUAUCUAAACUAAACUACAUCUAAAUACGUCCAUUUCUGCGACGAGUAAUUCGGAACGGAGGGAGUAGCUCUGAGCUUUUUGUGAGUGUUAUCAUUUCCAUUGGCUUAGUUAGAUUCUCUACUGUCUACGGUGACUAUGUGGUUUUUAAAAAUAAAUUCAUAUGAAAAACACAUUUGAAAACUAGAAUCCUGAUCUGUUUUCCCCCUACAUGUUCAUCUCUUUAGUGUAUCCUACAAAUGAAAAUUACUUUGGUCAAAAUUUGUGGAUAUAAAGAGGGCAUCUAAGUGCAUGAUGGAUUAUCAUUUUUUCAAUAUUUUUGGAGGCUUCUUACUAUGUAAUUCUAUUGUUAUUUUAAAAACUCGCUCUGUGGGACCUGCGAACUAAACGUCCAAACUCUGUUAUAUGGGCUAUUUUAUUCUAUUUUGGGCGGGUUGAAGAUGAGAUAACUCGGUUAAUGUAUAACACAUAUUUGUAGAACACUAAAUCCAAUCCAAGCUAGAUUAGCUAGGCAAUGCUUAUGAUUCAAACUCUGUUUUAUUUUGGGAUGGAGAUCCCAUUACCUUUCUUGUUCGGGAUGUAACCAUUAUCUCAAAUGAAUAAAGUGCACCACAAGGCAUUUCCCUCAAUAAAAUCCAAUUAACAAUGCCACUUUCUUUUAAAAUUUGACUACUAUUUGCAAAACAUGCAAAUCUGUAUUUCUUGAAUUAUGCAAUACAUAUCUGAGACUAGAUUGUGAGAGAGCGAGACCAGAAAUUUACUUGCACUCUGUUGAAGUUGGGCUUAAAUAAUUCCUAGCUAAAUGAUGUCUUCGGUUGUGAUUAUCCAUUUUUGCGGUACCUAUGUACUUUCGACUUCUUAUUUUUGAGUUGUUUAAGCUGGACAUGAUACUGUGCAAAUUCGAAAAAAUAGUCUUGGAAAAGUUAAAAAAGCACUUUUACAAAGGGUUGGAGCAAACCUUUGAGUUUGAGCUGACGGGGUGAAUCACAAAAUCUCUUGAAAAACAUUUGGGGACGGUGCGUCCGCCGGUCGCGUCCCACCCGCGCAUCCCCCAACAAAUUGAAGCGCGACACAUAAGGUGCGGGGUCCCACCCCUUGUCCUGUUUUCUCCCUCAUCUUGCCCGAGACCACCUCGUGCUGCGCUGCAUCUUUUUUCUCGGUGCAACCUCCUUGACCAGGCCCGACAGCAUCUCGCCGGAGAUGGCUGACCCCCCCUCGAGCCAAUUCUUCCUUCGCACGGGCGUCUUCCCUAUUCGUGCCGUUCUCCUGCAAAAGCGAGCGAGGACAGAGGAAGGGGCGCUGCGAGGAGUUGCGACGGCGGCAUGUGGCGACUGCGGGGACCUCGAUGGCGCGACAGGGAUGUGAACCCCGGUAAAUAUAUAAUACAUAUUUGUAGAGCAUUAAAUCUGAUCCGGCAUGUUAAUUUCUUUCAAGAUUCCACAUCUAUUUACAACACAUGCAUUGCUAUAUUAAUUGAAUGUAUUCCACAAUACAUUAGUCAUCAACCCAUACACCUCUAAAAAAUCAUUUUAAGUUGUCCUAUAACUUUUGAUAUGUGUGGAAAUGGAGAAAAUGAUAAACGUAAAAAAUUCGCAAGCCAUGACAUUUACCCAAACUGAAGCAAGAAUGUAUUCCUCAAAUUUCUUGAGGGUCAAUGUAUUGGUACCAUUUUAAACAUUCAUUUAUUUAUCUUAGUUAUAUUAACCUGCAAAAUGCACAAGAGGGAGCAUAAUUCUUUUUAUCAACUUGCAAAAUGCAUAUAGUAUUUUUUAAACUCGUAAAACACCUUUUUAUUCAUUUGUUAUCAACGUUACACCGUUCAAUAAAUGAGUACAAUUGAGAUCAUGAGCAACAGAGUUGGCUGUCCAGUAUUCAUGCUCAUAUACCACCUUUGCAAACUCCUGGCGAGGUAAUGCGAACCGUUAAAAUCCGCUUCUAUAAUGGAUCGGAAGAAUACCUGUUGCUUCUACUCCCUUUGUAAACCUUUUAAAGACCUUUAGGUCACUACCUACCUUCUAGAUCACUAAAGUAGUGACCUAAAAGGUCUUACAAAAGAUUACAAAGGUAGUAAUAAAUAAAUAAAUCCAACAACCUGCAUUUCCUCUUUCAUAGUGCUGACCACCUCCAUACUAUCUCAGACUAGUAGACUGCCCGUGCGUUGCAACGGGAUUUUAAAAAUUUGUAUUUGUUACAUGUCAAACGAAAGAUAAUAAUUGGCAACAAAUGUCGACAUCGGUAGAUCAAUGAAACAAAGAUGACCAGUAACCGCUGCACCGUCCGGUGAAGUACCACCGCGCUCCUAGCACCCGAACCGUCGCGUACAGAGAACCACCUUCAAGAAGGAAUGCGACGACGACGCCACUGCUGCCCGGACAAGUCCUAGGGUUUCCCUCGGUACGCAGAGGACAGUGGGGAAGGCGUAUACCCGAGGACCUUUAGGGAGGUCCGGCGGCGCCUGCAGGCGGCACCACGUCGAUGCCGGACGAGCCGCCAGGGAUUUCACGAACCCAAACACAACCACCACCACCCCCGACGAUCUGAAGUGUACCAACCAACCUGCCGCCCACCAGCCUUUCCCACCACGUUCACUGAACCAACUUCGUCGUCUCCUGAGGCCACCGACACGAGAUCUGGAGGAGGGAAGAGGAGCCAAGGGGCUCGGGGGCAUCCACAACUCAGCCGACGAGAGGGGACAACCUUCGCCGCUGCCGCGAAGCCGACCAGACGUGAUGACAGGGGCCUACCAGGCCCCUACUGGCCCGACCAGGCCCAAAUGGGUUAGGGCAGCCCCUGGUGCCACACUGCAACACGUCGGCGGACAAAGCCGCCACCACCCGCACCCCCCAAUGCCUCGCCACCACCACCAAGGAGCCACACCGCCGCACAUCGGACCGCCGGCCCGCCCCAACCCAGAUGGGGCCCAAAAUGGCCUAGAUCUGGGCGGAGUGGACGCCGCCAGCCAGCCGCACCACCACGCGCCUUGCAGCCAACGGCCGCGCCGCCGCAUCAGGGGCACCCACGGCCCGCAACGCGCAAGCGGGGAAAGAACGGCCUGCCUUCGCCCGAGGAGCGCCACCACCAUCAGCCCCCCACCCCACCCCCAAUGCGCGAGCGGGGAAAGAACGGCCUGCCUCUGCCAGCACCGCGUGGGAAUGACCUGGCGGACAACGCCGGCGGCGGCAGGGGGGAAAGACGGGGAGGGGUUGGAGGAGAGGGGGGGGGGUCGGGGAUUCGCAUGUCGCCCACGAGGGGGGAGGGGCGAGCGAGCGAACAGAUCAAAUCAGUGUAGGACGUUUUUCUUAGGUGCUUGAAACCAUACAAUUUAUCAUUUAGAAACACUACAGAAAAACACAUCUUCUAGAACAUACUACUCCUACCUCUCUUGUGAUAGGUAGAUAUAUCAAACCUUGAUAACAUUUAUUGUUAGAAUUUUAUUGCCAUUUAUUUUUAUUUUUAUCAUAAGAGAGGUAGAAUGGCUGUGCGUUGCCACAGACUUUUGGAAUAUUUUGUUAAAGUUAUAUAUAAACAUAAUGCAUGUUAAAUUUCACAUGUAUAGAAAAGAUAGCACGAGUGCAAUCGAGUAAUAAUUAAAAUCCACUUCACUUGCAAUGUAAGAUGGUAAAAAAGGUAAUUUGACGAUGUAUACAUAGAGCGCGAUGAUUCCACUAAUAACCUAUUGUUGGAAAUAUGCCCUAGAGGCAAUAAUAAAAGGAUUAUUAUUAUAUUUUCUUGUUCAUGAUAAUUGUCUUUUAUUCAUGCUAUAAUUGUGUUAUCCGGAAAUCGUAAUACAUGUGUGAAUACACAGACACCAAUAUGUCCCUAGUAAGCCUCUAGUCGACUAGCUCGUUGAUCAACAGAUAGUCAUGGUUUCCUGACUAUGGACAUGGGGAUGUCAUUGAUAACGGGAUCACAUCAUUAGGAGAAUGAUGUGAUGAACAAGACCCAAUCCUAAACAUAGCACAAGAUCGUAUAGUUUGUUCGCUAGAGUUUUUCCAAUGUCAAGUAUCUUUUCCUUAGACCAUGAGAUCGUGUAACUCCCGGAUACCGUAGGAUUGCUCUGGGCAUACCAAACAUCACAACGUAACUGGGUGACUAUAAAGGUAUACUACGGGUAUCUCCGAAAGUGUCUGUUGGGUUGACACGGAUCAAGACUGGGAUUUGUCACUCCGUAUGAUGGAGAGGUAUCUCUGGGCCCACUCGGUAAUGCAUCAUCAUAAUGAGCUCAAAGUGACCAAGUGUCUGGUCACGGGAUCAUGCAUUACGGUACGAGUAAAGUGACUUGCCGGUAACGAGAUUGAACGAGGUAUUGGGAUACCGACGAUCGAAUCUCGGGUAAGUAACGUACCGAUUGACAAAGGGAAUUGUAUACGGGGUUGCUUGAAUCCUCGACAUCGUGGUUCAUCCGAUGAGAUCAUCGAGGAGCAUGUGGGAGCCAACAUGGGUAUCCAGAUCCCGCUGUUGGUUAUUGACCGGAGAGCCGUCUCGGUCAUGUCUACAUGUCUCCCGAACCCGUAGGGUCUACACACUUAAGGUUCAGUGACGCUAGGGUUGUAGAGAUAUGAAUAUGCAGUAACCUGAAAGUUGUUCGGAGUCCCGGAUGAGAUCCUGGACGUCACGAGGAGUUCCGGAAUGGUCUGAAGGUAAAGAAUUAUAUAUAUGAAGUGCAGUUUCGACCAACGGGAGAGUUUUGGGGUCACCGGUAUUGUACCGGGACCACCGGAAGGGUCCUGGGGGUCCAUCGGGUGGGGCCACCCAUCCCAGAGGGCCCCAUGGGCCAAAGUGGGGAGGGGAACCAGCCCAUAGUGGGCUGGUGCGCCCCCCUAGGCCCACCCCAUGCGCCUAGGGUUGAAAUCCUAGGGGUGGGGGGGCGCCCCACCUUGCCUUGGUGGCUACUCCACCCUUGGCCGCCGCCCCCCUAGGAGAUCCCAUCUCCUAGGGCCGGCGCCCCCCCUAGGGGAGCCUAUAUAAAGGGGGGGGGAGGGAGGGGGCAGACACACCUUGAGUCUUGGCGCCUCCCUCUCCCCUGCUACACCUCUCUCUCUUGCAGUAUACGGCGAAGCCCUGCUACUGUGACGCCCUGCAUCCACCACCACGCCGUAGUGCCGCUGGAUCUUCAUCAACCUCUCCUCCCCCCUUGCUGGAUCAAGAAGAAGGAGACGUCACGCUGACCGUACGUGUGUUGAACACGGAGGUGCCGUCCGUUUGGCGCUAGGAUCUCCGGUGAUUUGGAUCACGUCGAGUACGUCUUCCUCAUCCCCGUUCUUUGAACGCUUCCGCGCGUGAUCUACAAAGGUAUGUAGAUGCAAUCCAAUCACUCGUUGCUAGAUGAACUCAUAGAUGGAUCUUGGUGAAACCGUAGGAAUUUUUUUUGUUUUCUGCAACGUUCCCCAUCAGUGGCAUCAUGAGCUAGGUCUAUGCGUAGUUCUCCUUGCACGAGUAGAACACAAUUUGUUGUGGGCGUAGAUGUUGUCAACUUUCUUGCCGCUACUAGUCUUAUCUUGCUUCAGCGGUAUUGUGGGAUGAAGCGGCCCGGACCGACCUUACACGUACGCUUACGUGAGACUGGUUCCACCGACUGACAUGCACUAGAUGCAUAAGGUGGCUAGCGGGUGUCUGUCUCUCCCACUUUAGUUGGAGUGGAUUCGAUGAAAAGGGUCCUUAUGAAGGGUAAAUAGAAGUUGACAAAUCACGUUGUGGCUAUUACAUAGGUAAGAAACGUUCUUGCUAGAAACCUUUUGCAGCCACGUAAAACUUGCAACAACAAUUAGAGGACGUCUAACUUGUUUUUGCAGCAAGUGAUUUGUGAUGUGAUAUGGCCAAAGUUGUGAUGAAUGAUGAAUGAUAUAUAUGUGAUGUAUGAGAUCAUGUUCUUAUAAUAGGAAUCACGACUUGCAUGUCGAUGAGUAUGACAACCGGCAGGAGCCAUAGGAGUUGUCUUUAUUUUUGUAUGACCUGCGUGUCAUUGAGAAAUUCCAUGUAAAUUACUUUACUUUAUUGCUAAACGUGUUAGCCAUAAUAGUAGAAGUAAUAGUUGGCGAGCAACUUCAUGGAGACACGAUGAUGGAGAUCAUGGUGUCAUGCCGGUGACAAGAUGAUCAUGGACCCCAAGAUGGAGAUCAAAGGAGCUAUGUGAUAUUGGCCAUAUCAUGUCACUAUUAUUAUUUGAUUGCAUGUGAUAUUUAUCAUGUUUUUGCAUCUUGUUUACUUAGAAUGGCGGUAGUAAAUAAGAUGAUCCCUCAUAAUAAUUUCAAGAAAGUGUUCCCCCUAACUGUGCACCGUUGCGAUAGUUCGUUGUUUCGAAGCACCACGUGAUGAUCGGGUGUGGUAGAUUCCAACGUUCACAUACAACGGGUGUAAGACAUAUUUACACACGCAAUACACUUAGGUUGACUUAACGAGCCUAGCAUGUACAGACAUGGCCUCGGAACACAGAAGACCGAAAGGUCGAGCAUGAGUCGUAUAGAAGAUACGAUCAACAUGAAGAUGUUCACCGAUGUUGACUAGUCCGUCUCACGUGAUGAUCGGACACGGCCUAGUCAACUCGGAUCAUGUUAUACUUAGAUGACUGGAGGGAUGUCUAUCUAAGUGGAAGUUCAUUGUAUAAUUUGAUUAGAUGAACUUAAUUAUCAUGAACUUAGUCUAAAAUCUUUACAAUAUGUCUUGUAGAUCAAAUGGCCAAUGUUGUCCUCAACUUCAACGCGUUCCUAAAGAAAACCAAGCUGAAAGACGAUGGCAGCAACUAUACGGACUGGGUCCGGAACCUGAGGAUCAUCCUCAUAGCUGCCAAGAAAGAUUAUGUCCUAGAAGCAUCGCUAGGUGACGCACCCGUCCCACAGAACCAAGACGUUAUGAAUGCUUGGCAGACACGUGCUGAUGAUUACUCCCUUGUUCAGUGCUGCAUGCUUUACAACUUAGAACCGGGGCUCCAAAAGUGUUUUGAGCGACACGGAGCAUAUGAGAUGUUCGAAGAGCUGAAAAUGGUUUUCCAAGCUCAUGCCCGGGUCGAGAGAUAUGAAGUCUCCGAUAAGUUCUUCAGCUGUAAGAUGGAGGAAAAUAGUUCUGUCAGUGAGCACAUACUCACUAUGUCUGGGUUACAUAACCGCUUGACUCAGCUAGGAGUUAAUCUCCCGGAUGAUGCGGUCAUUGACAGAAUCCUCCAGUCGCUUCCACCAAGCUACAAGAGCUUCGUGAUAAACUUCAAUAUGCAGGGGAUGGAAACGACCAUUCCUGAAGUAUUUGCAAUGCUGAAAUCAGCGGAGGUAGAAGUCAAAAAGGACCAUCAAGUGUUGAUGGUGAAUAAAACCACUAAGUUCAAGAAAGGCAAGGGUAAGAAGAACUUCAAGAAGGACGGCAAGGGAGUUGCCGCGCCCGGUAAGCAAGCUGCCGGGAAGAAACCAAAGAAUGGACCCAAGCCCGAGACUGAGUGUUUUUAUUGCAAGGGAAGUGGUCACUGGAAGCGGAACUGCCCCAAAUACUUAGCGGACAAGAAGGCCGGCAAAAUGAAAGGUAUAUGUGAUAUACAUGUAAUUGAUGUGUACCUUACCAAUACUCGUAGUAGCUCCUGGGUAUUUGAUACCGGUGCAGUUGCUCACAUUUGUAACUCAAAGCAGGAGCUGCGGAAUAAGCGGAGAUUGGCGAAGGACGAGGUGACGAUGCGCGCCGGGAAUGGUUCCAAGGUCGAUGUGAUCGCCGUCGGCACGCUACCUCUACAUUUACCUACGGGAUUAGUUUUGAACCUCAAUAAUUGUUAUUUAGUGCCAAGUUUGAGCACGCACAUUGUAUCAGGAUCUCGUUUAAUACGAGAUGGCUACUCAUUUAAAUCCGAGAAUAAUGGUUGUUCUAUUUAUAUGAGAGAUAUGUUUUAUGGUCAUGCUCCUAUGGUGAAUGGUUUAUUCUUAAUGAAUCUCAAGCGUAAUGCUACACAUAUUCAUAGUGUGAAUGCCAAAAGAUGUAAGGUUGAUAAUGAUAGUCCCGCAUACUUGUUGCACUGCCGCCUUGGUCACAUAGGUGUCAAACGCAUGAAGAAGCUCCAUACAGAUGGACUUUUAGAGUCUCUUGAUUACGAAUCAUUUGACACGUGCGAACCAUGCCUCAUGGGUAAGAUGACCAAGACUCCGUUCUCAGGAACAAUGAAGCGAGCAACCAACCUAUUGGAAAUCAUACAUACUGAUGUGUGCGGUCCAAUGAGUGUUGAGGCUCGUGGUGGCUAUCGUUAUGUUCUCACCCUCACUGAUGACUUGAGUAGAUAUGGGUAUAUCUACUUAAUGAAACACAAGUCUGAAACCUUUGAAAAGUUCAAGGAAUUUCAGAGUGAGGUUGAGAAUCAACGUGACAGAAAAAUCAAGUUUUUGCGAUCAGAUCGUGGAGGAGAAUACUUGAGUCACGAAUUUGGUACACACUUAAGAAAAUGUGGAAUAGUUUCACAACUCACGCCGCCUGGAACACCUCAGCGCAAUGGUGUGUCCGAACGUCGUAAUCGCACUCUAUUAGAUAUGGUGCGAUCUAUGAUGUCUCUUACUGAUUUACCACUGUCAUUUUGGGGCUAUGCUUUAGAGACUGCCGCAUUCACUUUAAAUAGGGCUCCGUCGAAAUCCGUUGAGACGACACCGUAUGAAUUAUGGUUUGGGAAGAAGCCUAAGCUGUCGUUUCUAAAAGUUUGGGGAUGCGAUGCUUAUGUCAAGAAACUUCAACCUGAAAAGCUCGAACCCAAGUCGGAAAAAUGCGUCUUCAUAGGAUACCCUAAAAAAACUAUUGGGUAUACCUUCUACCUUAGAUCCGAAGGCAAGAUCUUUGUUGCCAAGAAUGGAUCCUUUCUAGAGAAGGAGUUUCUCUCGAAAGAAGUAAGUGGGAGGAAAGUAGAACUUGAUGAAGCAUUGCCUCUUGAACCGGAAAGUGGUGCAACUCAGGAAAAUGUUCCAGUGGUGCCUGCACCAAUUAGAGAGGAAGUUAAUGAUGAUGAUCAAGAUACCUCCGAUCAAGCUCCUACUGAACUUCGAAGGUCCACAAGGACACGUUCUGCACCAGAGUGGUACGGCAACCCUGUCUUGGAAAUCAUGUUGUUAGACAACAGUGAACCUUCGAACUAUGAAGAAGCGAUGGCGGGCCCGGAUUUCGACAAAUGGCUGGAAGCCAUGAAAUCCGAGAUAGGAUCCAUGUAUGAAAACGAAGUAUGGACUUUGACUGACUUGCCCGAUGAUCGGCGAGCCAUAGAAAAUAACUGGAUCUUUAAGAAGAAGACGGACGCGGAUGGUAAUGUGACCAUCUAUAAAGCUAGGCUUGUCGCUAAGGGUUAUCGAUAAGUUCAAGGGGUUGACUACGAUGAGACAUUCUCUCCCAUAGCAAAGUUGAAGUCCGUUCGAAUCAUGUUAGCAAUUGCCGCAUACUAUGAUUAUGAGAUAUGGCAAAUGGACGUCAAAACGGCAUUCCUUAACGGUUAUCUUAAGGAAGAACUGUAUAUGAUGCAGCUGGAAGGUUUUGUCGAUCCUAAGAAUGCUGACAAGGUGUGCAAGCUCCAACGCUCGAUUUAUGGGCUGGUGCAAGCAUCUCGGAGUUGGAACAUUCGCUUUGAUGAGAUGAUCAAAGCGUUUGGGUUUAUGCAGACUUAUGGAGAAGCCUGCGUUUACAACAAAGUGAGUGGGAGCUCUGUAGCAUUUCUCAUAUUAUAUGUAGAUGACAUACUUUUGAUGGGAAAUGAUAUAGAGCUUUUGGACAGCAUUAAGGCCUACUUGAAUAAGAGUUUUUCAAUGAAGGACCUUGGAGAAGCUGCUUAUAUAUCAGGCAUCAAGAUCUAUAGAGAUAGAUCAAGACGCCUCAUAGGUCUUUCACAAAGCACAUACCUUGAUAAGAUAUUGAAGAAGUUCAAUAUGGAUCAGUCUAAGAAGGGGUUCUUGCCUGUGUUGCAAGGUGUGAAAUUGAGCUCAGCUCAAUGUCCGACCACGGCAGAAGAUAUAGAAGAGAUGAGUGUCAUCCCCUAUGCCUCAUCCAUAGGUUCUAUUAUGUAUGCCAUGCUGUGUACUAGACCUGAUGUAAACCUUGCCGUAAGUUUGGUAGGAAGGUACCAAAGUAAUCCCGGCAAGGAACACUGGACAACGGUCAAGAAUAUCCUGAAGUACCUGAAAAGGACUAAGGAAAUGUUUCUCGUUUAUGGAGGUGACGAAGAGCUUGUCGUAAAGGGUUACGUCGACGCUAGCUUCGACACAGAUCUGGAUGACUCUAAGUCACAAACCGGAUACGUGUAUAUUUUGAAUGGUGGGGCAGUAAGCUGGUGCAGUUGCAAGCAGAGCGUCAUGGCGGGAUCUACAUGUGAAGCGGAGUACAUGGUAGCCUCGGAGGCAGCGCAUGAAGAAAUUUGGGUGAAGGAGUUCAUCACCGACCUAGGAGUCAUACCCAAUGCGUCGGGGCCGAUCAAACUCUUCUGUGACAACAUUGGAGCUAUUGCACUUGCCAAGGAGCCCAGGUUUCACAAGAAGACCAGGCACAUCAAGCGUCGCUUCAACUCCAUUUGUGAAAAUGUUCAAGAUGGAGACAUAGAUAUUUGUAAAGUGCAUACGGACCUGAAUGUAGCAGAUCCAUUGACUAAACCUCUCCCUAGAGCAAAACAUGAUCAACACCAGCAUUCCAUGGGUGUUCGAUUCAUCACAAUAUAACUAGAUUAUUGACUCUAGUGCAAGUGGGAGACUGUUGGAAAUAUGCCCUAGAGGCAAUAAUAAAAGGAUUAUUAUUAUAUUUCCUUGUUCAUGAUAAUUGUCUUUUAUUCAUGCUAUAAUUGUGUUAUCCGGAAAUCGUAAUACAUGUGUGAAUACACAGACACCAACAUGUCCCUAGUAAGCCUCUAGUUGACUAGCUCGUUGAUCAACAGAUAGUCAUGGUUUCCUGACUAUGGACAUGGGGAUGUCAUUGAUAACGGGAUCACAUCAUUAGGAGAAUGAUGUGAUGGACAAGACCCAAUCCUAAACAUAGCACAAGAUCGUAUAGUUUGUUUGCUAGAGUUUUUCCAAUGUCAAGUAUCUUUUCCUUAGACCAUGAGAUCGUAUAACUUCCGGAUACCGUAGGAGUGCUCUGGGCAUACCAAACGUCACAACGUAACUGGGUGACUAUAAAGGUAUACUACGGGUAUCUCCGAAAGUGUCUGUUGGGUUGACACGGAUCAAGACUGGGAUUUGUCACUCCGUAUGACGGAGAGGUAUCUCUGGGCCCACUCGGUAAUGCAUCAUCAUAAUGAGCUCAAAGUGACCAAGUAUCUGGUCACGGGAUCAUGCAUUAUGGUACGAGUAAAGUGACUUGCCGGUAACGAGAUUGAACGAGGUAUUGGGAUACCGACGAUUGAAUCUCGGGCAAGUAACGUACCGAUUGACGAAGGGAAUUGUAUACGGGGUUGCUUGAAUCCUCGACAUCGUGGUUCAUCUGAUGAGAUCAUCGAGGAGCAUGUGGGAGCCAACAUGGGUAUUCAGAUCCCGCUGUUGGUUAUUGACCGGAGAGCCGUCUCGGUCAUGUCUACAUGUCUCCCGAACCCAUAGGGUCUACACACUUAAGAUUCGGUGACGCUAGGGUUGUAGAGAUAUGAAUAUGCAGUAACCCGAAAGUUGUUCAGAGUCCCGGAUGAGAUCCUGGACGUCACGAGGAGUUCCGGAAUGGUCCAGAGGUAAAGAAUUAUAUAUAGGAAGUGCAGUUUCGGCCAUCGGGAGAGUUUCGGGGUCACCGGUAUUGUACCGGGACCACCGGAAGGGUCCCGGGGGUCCACCGGGUGGGGCCACCCAUCCCGGAGGGCCCCAUGGGCCAAAGUGGGGAGGGGAACCAGCCCAUAGUGGGCUGGUGCGCCCCCUAGGCCCACCCCAUGCGCCUAGGGUUGAAACCUUAGGGGUGGGGGGGCGCCCCAACUUGCCUUGGUGGCUACUCCACCCUUGGCCGCCGCCCCCCUAGGAGAUCCCAUCCCCUAGGGCCGCCCCCCCUAGGGGAGCCUAUAUAAAGGGGGGGAGGGGAGGGAGGGGGCAGACACACCUUGAGUCUUGGCGCCUCCCUCUCCCCUGCUACACCUCUCUCUCUCUCUCGCAGUAUACGGCGAAGCCCUGCUACUGUGACGCCCUGCAUCCACCACCACGCCGUCGUGCUGCUGGAUCUUCAUCAACCUAUCCUCCCCCCUUGCUGGAUCAAGAAGGAGGAGACGUCGCGCUGACCGUACGUGUGUUGAACACGGAGGUGCCGUCCGUUCGGCGCUAGGAUCUCCGGUGAUUUGGAUCACGUCGAGUACGUCUUCCUCAUCCCCGUUCUUUGAACGCUUCCGCGCGUGAUCUACAAAGGUAUGUAGAUGCAAUCCAAUCACUCAUUGCUAGAUGAACUCAUAGAUGGAUCUUGGUGAAACCGUAGGAAAUUUUUUGUUUUCUGCAACGUUUCCCAACACCUAUUACAAAUUAAGAUUAGCUUGAUGCGCUUAUGAUAUUCAUGCACAAUAUCAGGAAUGUGGUCGUCAGCUUUUUGCAGGAGUGGCGCCUCUUCUUCGCUCCAUGCUGUCUCCCGACCUCUCCUAUCCCUUCCACGAUGUCAGUCGCCCCCUCCUCCUUCCUCCACAACUUCGAUGGUCCUCCUCUUCACGCCACUGUCGAAGCCCAUCCGCUUUUGUCAUUGCCGCACAUCAUCCUCUUCCUUCCAUGGCAUCGUUCGACACCUCCUCUCCAUGCCAGCUGUCAUGUCUCCUUUCCCUCUAAUCCCUCGAUGGUGUCACGUACAUCAUCCUCUCUCCGCCACGUCGUUGCUGACCUCCUCCUCUUCCCGACAACCUCUCACGCCACCCACAUCCUCCUCUCCCCGCCAAGCCGCGCCGAGCAUAGUCUAGCUUCCCCUCAAGCUUCUCCUCCUAUCCCAAAUCCAUCAUUGUCUCAUGUGAAAACUGCUAGUACUGUUUUUCUCUAAAACUACAAACUCCUAGGAGUUUAACAUUGCUGUGGAUCUGUCGUAUAAAUAAUGUCAUGCUUGCUUGUUAAUUUAUGCUAAUUUAAACUGAACUCACUAUCUAGAUCCUGCUUUGUUACAUGUUGGGUGCUGGAUGUAGUGCCAGGCUCCACGUGUACUGUGUAAUGUGGUCUAAGAAAGAACCAAGUUGCUAAUCACGUAAACAUGUAAAACAAAAGAGACAAACCAAAUUAGUUUUUCCACCUAUCCUGACUUAUCCUCACGGCAGCCACCCUCUCACUCUCUCACCCCAUGGCACCCCUCUGCAAGACCAUACUCUCUCACCCCUCUUGCUCGUUCUCUCCGCCACAUCGUCGCCGCCGCCAACCCUCUCCGCCACGCCGUCCCAGCCGCCACAACUCCCCACCUUGGCGCGUCCCUGCCUCCUCCCAUCCCCUCCACUCCUCGGUCCCCGCCACAGUUAUCUGUUUCGGCCGGGUCCAGUGAGCAGUGGUGAGACCAGGUGUCGCGGUGAGCAGCCGGAUCCGGCCGUCGGCGAGCCGCGCCAUGGAUCUAGUCAUCCCAGGGCGAUUUCCGGAGCCGAGGGCGACUUGAAGAUUUCUACCUCAAGCUGAGCCGCGCCGUCGAUCUGGCCAACCCAGGCUGAGUUGCUGGCUUGCUGCCUGUUGGCCUGCUACACAGCCUACUGAUAGUAUGCUCGGUAUUUGACAGGGAAAUCACACAGCGAAGGUACAAUUUUUUUGAGUUUUGUUUCAGUCCAGAUGUACCAAACAUUAUAUUUCUACGAACUGAAAAUCAACUGUAAACAUAUGUAUCCUAAACAUUCUAUUUGAAUCACCUAUUCUACUUUGAUUACCCCGUAGUCUUUUCUUCUCAGUCUCACUCUCAAAUCCAGCUUCAUGCACUUCCGUGACCUUUUCUUAUCUAGAAUCUGUUGAGGCUGUUACCUUUCUCUGAAAAAUGCCAUAUAUCUUGGGCUUUGGAGGAAUAAAAAAGCUCUCCACUUGAAUCAAAUAAAUUAUGGCGUUAGCAGUAGCACAGUAAGGGUUCUCACCUGCAUAAGUUCUUUUGAGUGACCAAGUCAGAUGUGAUUAUUUUGUUAUCUCACAACUCAUGAUUGUUGAUUUCCAAACUCCGUUUGACGUAACCGUUAGGUUCUUGUGCAUUGUGAUGUAGUAAAUGUUGUUGUGAUCUUCAAAACGAGAAGGCAGAUUAGUCUAAUCUCCAUUCUGUCUUCUUCUACAACUGAAAGAUUCAGAGGUGUCACACUUGGAGCAGAGGAAGAAAUUUCUUUUGUUCUUACCUUCUCUACAAAGAUGUGCAUAUAGUAACUCUGUUUAGUCAUGUCCACCAUGUUUCUAUGGUUUUCUAUUCUGUUGUCUUUUCAUAUAUAUCCCUUUGAAGCAAUGGGCGUUAAUAUAUUAAUUGUAACAAGGUUGGAAACUGAUGCGGAUGCGCGCAAGGGCAACGUUGGAUGACACCUAGAAGAGCAAGCACAGUGCAGCGAAGGAAGUACCGAGCUUCGGCAGCACUACACCAUCGUCCUCUGCCUCACCGAGCACAUCAAUUUCAUGAGAUGGUGAGAGCAUUUUGACAGAUUGUGUACUUUUCAAUUUUAGACCUUUGUGCUCUAGAUGCCAUUGCUGGAUGUCGACUUGGUGGUGAGAUUUCUCAAAUGCUCCAAUGCUCCAAGUUGAGUCUUAACUUCAAAAUAAAAAACGUAGCAUCUGCAAGUUCUCGACCAUCCUUGAUUUGAUUAACCAUCAUGCAGCUGUUAUAUUUUUUGCAGCUGUAAUCUUUAAUGUGAACAUAUUUUCAUAAUAGUGGUAAAAAAUGUUUCUAAAGAAAAACAUGAAAGUUGUUUCUAAAAAAAAUGGUGGUAACUCUUUCUCUAAAUAAAAAAUUGUGUAACUCGUUUUCUGAAUAAUCUAAAAGAUUGUAAAAACAAGGUUAAUAAAAAAUUGUGACAACUAUGUUUAUGAAGUUUUUUGUGUACUUCAUUUUUUAUGAUUAGGCUACGUUUAUGACCAGACCGGACAGUCGUCGUUUUUUAUAGACUGUACAAAAAUUUGUAGGCAUGUACCACAAGAAAGUACGCAAGAUGUGAAAACUUGACAUUGGUAGGGUGCUUAAUAAAUGUAUUUGGAAAUGUGGUGCUUCAUAAAUAUUGAAACAAUGGACCUAUGAGUACAGGGCUGAGCACGGAUUGAAAAGUUUAACCUGGCUAGCUACCAAAAAAGGCAUCCUCGAGGAUUUGUUUCGUUGAUUUGGUUUAAUCCUUAUUCCAUAACCAUCAAUAAUUACAGAGACAGUACUUUCUAUUGUCUCAGGUUAACUCUUGAUUGGAACCUGACUGAACAAUGAACAAGUCCAAGUAUCUUGACAAAAUUUCAGUAGUAACCAAAUUUCAAAUAAGCACCUUUUAUGCCAAGAAAUUAACCAUCAAGCAUAAUUUGCAAUAUAUUAUCAAUCUGACAAAAGAAUCACUACAAAUUCUAUUAAAUCUUUUUUAAAUAGGGGUUUUCAUCAGGUUUAGAAAUCAGACUGUAAACAACAAUUUUCAGUGCAUGUUCAAGGUGUGUUACAGGCCUACAUCUAUAUCAGAAUCUCAAAUUACACAUUUUCAAAGUAUACUGUGUGACACAUAUAUUGUACUACAUAGUUCUUGUUUAUUUCUUGUCACCUAUUUGUUAUAUCUAACAAUAGGAUAUUCUAGAUCAACUCCCCGCAUAGACCCGCUUCAAGGGAGGAGGAUGCAGAGGCCAGCAACAAGGAGCGGGUGUGGGUGCUCAUCCUCGCCGCUGACCACAAGUGCUGCGACAAACUUUGGGCAGAAUUCCAUCCCUCCACGUGUAUGAGCAAAUCAAAUACUACUUACUUCUUUCUGUCUGUUGUCUGCUGAAGUAGCUAAUAGACCGCUUUAGAAUGUUGUGAGCUUGGUUAUUUUACAUUGUUUGCUAAUAUCAAGCAAAGAAUGAAUGCUGGAGUGUGUUACUGUGCUUCAUUACAAUCCCUAGAAAACUUUAGAAAGGGUGUUUCUGUCCACCCACAUAAAUCAAAAGAUAAAUCUAUGAUUGCGCGGCAGGCCUGAUAAUCCACACCAGACCAAUCAAAAAAGAGGACAAUCUGUGACUUGUUGAUUAAUCAACAAACCCGGUGUUGUUGUCCACUACCAGCCGGCUGGAGGCCCCAACUCGUUUGGCUCCGUCUACGCGGUGCCAGGAGAUUAGCACAUGGAUGCAUCCGCCGGCAGUACCAACUGCACAUCAAAGAACAACGGAUUAGUACGUUGACAGGGAUAGAAAGAAAAAUAUGAAACUCGGACACACGGAAUUUGCAGUUAUCAACAAGGAUGUGUCUAGGACACAUCUAGAUGUGACAUAAUUAUCUCACAUCUAAAUAUGACAUCAUCCUCAUCCUAGAAAUUAGCACAUCCCACCUCAUGGUUGUUUGAUUGUCUUUUUUUCUUCGUUUCUUCCGGCCUGCCUGUUCGACUGAUCGUCUUACUCUUCCGGUGUCUGUUUCCUGUGAUACGAGUCGCAACAUGCAGAACAGCAGAAGCACAGUACUCCGUCAGUUAUAUACACAAACUAGAGCAUACCGAGUACAUACACCAAUCACUACAGCGGAUCACUAAAUAGCUCGACGUGCUAAAGCAAUCAUGGUGCACCGGGAGCCAUUGUGUGGGUCCACUUCAUCUCAAGCUACAGUAGCUAGCUCUAAAUGGAUGCCACUCAGACGUUUCAUCAUUCUUUUUUGCAACACCUUUUUCUUGGUCAUUUAUAAGGCACAAAUUAAACUAAAAACUCAGGAUAAAAUACCCAUGCAAGUAGUUUCGUGUUUGACAACUCAUAUAGAAUUAUUUGGGUCAUCUAUGGAUAACAUAUAUAGAAGUACAAACAUAUGGUAGGCUUGUUCUGCUUGCUGCCCUUGUUCACCUUCCACAUACAUGUGAGUUGCAAAUUAAGAGUGACUAUGCAACUAAGGAAAAAACAAAGGAUCAAGCCCAAUUGAGAGUCGAUGGUGGACUUUUCAAUUGAGACGAAAUAAAUUUCGGACCUAGUUGAGUCGAGGUUGUACUUGCAGCUGAGGCAACAAAAAAUGAGACCUCUUAAUCGGCGCCUUCUGCGCUGAUUAGGGUUUCGGGCGCCCACACAAGUGCACAUAUGGGCCAGCCAAUCAGCGGCCGACACGAUCGCUUGGCAGACGUGACAUCGUUUGCUUUUUGUCAAUGGUUGACCACCUGACAUGUCAACUAUUGACUUUUAAAAAAAUGCAAAAAUUCCAGAAAAGCAAAUAAAUUGCAAAAAAGGAAAAAGUUUGUAAAUUCAAAAAAGUUCAUGGAUUUGAUUUUUUUACAAAAUUCAAAAUAAGUUCAUGAAUUUAAAAAAUAAGCACAAAAUUGGAAAAAAGUUGAUGAGUUUAAAAAAUUCAUUGGUUUUGAAAAAAACAUUCAUGAAUUUGAGAAAAGUUUGAGGAUUUGAAAAAAUAAAACACACAAAUUUUGAAGGGAUAAAGAGGUGGUAAAAGUGGAGAAACUGAAAGGGUUCAAUACUGUUUAGCAAAUAUUGCAACAAAAAACCUGAAAGUAAAAAAGGUGGGCAGUUGAAUUAAUACAAAUUGGCCUUAUAUGUUCCUAAAAAAUGUUAAGUUGUUUUGAAAAUAACGAUUACACAAAAGGAUAUGAAUGAAACGGUGUUUCUCGUUUUGUAUACAACAAUGACAUUUCCAAAAAAGGUCAAGAAUUAAAUCAAUCGGCCGGGACUAAAAAACAUAUAAAUGGUGGAUUGCUUGAAAGGAAAACAUAACAUAUGAAAAAAUGGGACCCUGCGACUCUGUUGCAUUUUUUCAAAAAGUAUAAAAAAUGGGUAGAAGAUGGGGCUUGCACAUGGGACAUUUGGAAAAAAAAUUGGUUGGGCCCAAAAAAUACAUAACAAACAAUGUUGAGCAUCUAAAGGCAAAAAAGAAAGGUGGACUAGUAACUGCUAGGGUUGGGGUCGCUCACAUUUGUCUAUUGAAGAUAGAAAAUGUAACUGGGAUACAAAAUUGGUCGCUCCUCGGGUUGCAAGUUGAUGUGAAUUUGUAAUCACGACAACGAAAACUUAGAGCCCAGUUGCGAGUCACGUAUGAUCGACUUGCAAUUGAGGUGGACUUGUACUUCAGGUGGCAACAAAAAACAUUAAAGUCUAGUUGCAAGUCCAUGGACUUGCAACUUGGGCAACAACCAAAUUUCAGCUUACUUGCAAGUAGGGGUACUUGCGGCUGGGUGUGAACAAAAAUAAGGUCGGGCCAUGUUGCGAAUCGAGGAUGAACAUGUGACUAGGCACAAAGUAAAAAAGGUCGGGCCAUAUUGCGAGUCAAGGGUAGGCUUGCAACUGAGGCAACAACAACUAUAGUCCUAGUUGCAAGUCAUGGGUAGGCUUGUAACUGGGAUGAGAAAAAAUGAUGGCCUGCUUGCGUGGCGAGGUUGGAGUUGUAACUGGGAUGACAAACACACAAGGGUGAACUUGCAACAGGGGCAACUACAAUUACAAGUCCCAGUUGCGAGUCGGGGAUGGACUUGCAACUUAGGCAACUACACAACUACAAAGCCCCCCCAAUUGCGAGUUGAUGGUGGACUUGCAACUAAGGAAAUUACAACUACAAAAAUCCCUAGUUGCAAGUGGACUUGCAACUAGAGAAAAAACACGACUACAAAAGCCCCUAGUUGUGAGUCGAGGUUGUACUUGCAAUGGAGCGGGAGCAUUUGACAUACUGCCCCCUAACGUGGGGCCACUGACGAGUGGGCCCAGGUCUACAUGCCAGUGUGCCAACGGCAUGUCAGGGAAUCCGCGUCCACUUGCAACUGGGCAACUACACUACUACAUACAAAGUCCCUAGUUACGAGUCGAGGUUGGACUUGCAACUAGGGCAACUGCACUAAUAUAAAGCCUGUAAUUGCAAGUCGAGUUGGACUUGCAAUUGGGGCAACCACACAACUACAAGCCCCAACUUGCAAGUCGAUGGUACACUUGCAACCGGGACAACUAAAACUACAAAAAGCCCCUAGUUACAAGUCGAUGGUGGACUUGCAACUGGUCAACUACAACUACAAAAAAGCACCUAGUUGCGAGUCCAUGAUGGAAUGGCAACUAGGACAACUACAACUACCACAGGCCCCCAGUUGUGAGCGAGGAUGGACUUGCAACUGGGGAAACUACACUACUAGAAGCCCAAUUACGAGUUGAUGGUGAUCUUGCAACUGAGGCAACUACAACUACUGCAAGCCCCCUAGUUGUGAGUCGGUGGUGUACUUGCAAAUUAAAACUACAAAAAAAAUCCCUAGUUGCGAGUCAAGCGUGAGGUCCUCCAGUAACGUGUCGAGGGUGUACUUGCAAUUGAGACAAAAAUGGGUCAAACCCAAUUGCAUGUCGAGGGUGGACUUUCAACAGGGGCAAAAAAGGGUGAUACCCAUUUACAUAUCAAUGGUGGACUUGCAGCUAGGGAAAAUUGGUUGGGCCACCUAGUUGCAUGUUGAGGGUGAAUUUGCAACCAUGACAAAAAAAAGGUCGGAUAUCCAGUUGCAUGUCGGUUGUCAAUGUGCAACUAUAGGACAAAAAUUGGUUGGACCCUAGUUGCAUGUCGGCAGUUGACUUGCAACUGGGACAAGAAAAAUAAAAGAGGCGUGCCCAGUUGCAUGACAAGAGUGCACUUGCAAUAAUAUAAAAAUGUGUCAGGCCCAGUUACAUGUCGGUGAUUGACUUGCAACUGCGACAAGAAAAAUAGAAGAGACGAGCUCCGGUUUGCAUGUCGAUGGUCGACUUGCAACUAGGAAAAGAAAAUAAAGAGGCGACCCAGUUCAAUAUUGGGAGUACACUUGCACCAGAGACCAAAAUGGGUUGGACCCAGUUGCAUGUCGGUGAUCAACUUGCAACUAGGACAAGAGAAAAAAAGGCUUAGACUUGCAAAUAAAAAAAAUGGGUCGUUGCGUGGCAUUGUAGUAUUUAGAAGGAGAUCCAUCCUCAUGCCGCCUCUGCUCCAAAGACAAAGAGGAAUGUGAUAGAGAGAUAGAGAGGGAGGGAGGGAGGGAGAGAGAGAGAGAUAGAGAGAGAGAGAGAGCGAAGAACGAAACUGAUGAGCCAGCGGUCAACUCAUCUUUUCGACUUAUACAAGCAACUCAUCUCUUCAAUUAUGACACAGAAAAAGGACAAAAAUGCCUAACAAACAAAGACGCACUGUGCGAUGGGUUGCAGAAUGGACAACAAACGAGUGACAUCAAACGCGCGGGACAAAACAACCCUGAUCAAAGAUUGCACGGAAUUUAUAGGGAUGGAUCAAACGGACUGAAACUUAAAUGAGACAUUGCUAAAACUCAUGCAAGGUGAUGGCUAGCUUGUAACUGGGGCCGCUACAACAUAUGUUUCCCCUAGUUGCGAGCCGAUGGUUCACUUGCAACUGCGGCAACUAAAAAAAUGUACGAUGAGUCCUAGUUGCGAGUCGAUGAUUGACUUGCAAUUGGGCCCUUACAAACAUAAGCCUCCUAGUUGCGAGUCGAUGGUUGACUUGCAACUGCCCCCCUACAAACAUACGCCCUCUAGUUGCAAGUCGAUGGUUGACAUGCAACUGGGGCCACUACAAAAAAUUACAACACAUGCUAGUUGAGACUUGGUUCACUUGUAACUAGCCCCCUACAAACAUACGCCCCCUUGUUGCGAGUCGAUGGUUGACUUGCAACUCGGCCCCUAAAAAUAUACUUCCCCCUAGUUGCGAGUCGAUGGUUGACUUGCAAUUGGGUAACUACAAAAAAGUACGACGCGUCCUAUUUGUGAGUCGAUGGCUGACUUGCAAUUGGGGUCGGCACAAACAUACACUUCCUAGUUAUGAGUGGACGUUUGAUUUGCAACUGGGGCAAGUACAAAAAAGUAUGACGCAUCCUAAUUGCGAGUCGAUGGUUGACUUGCAAUUGGGCCCCUACAAACAUAUGUCCCUCCUAAUUGCGAGUUGAUGGUUGACUUGCAAUUGGGCUUCUACAAACAUAUGUCCCCCCUAGUUGCCAGCCGAUGGUUGACAUGCAAUUGGGGGCCCUUCAAACAUAUGCCCCAUAGUUGCGAGAUGAUGGUUGACUUGCAACUGCCCCCCUACAAACAUACGCCCCCUAGUUGCAAGUCGAUGGUUGGCAUGCAACUAGGGCGACUAUAAAAAAGUACGUCGCGUCCUUGUUGCAAGUCAAUGGUUGACUUGCAACUGUCCCCUACAAACAUGUGCCCCCUUGUUGCGAGUCGAUGGUUGAAUCGCAACUGGGCCCCUACAAACAUACUUUCCCCUAGUUGCGAGUCGAUGGUUGACUUGCAACUGGGGCAACUACAGAAAAGUACGACGCAUCCUAGUUGCGAGUCGAUGGCUGACUUGCAACUGGGGCUGGUAGAAACAUACACCCCUAGUUCUGAGUGGAUUUUGACUUUCAAUUGGGGCAAUUACAAAAAAUUAUGACACAUCCUAGUUGCGAGUCGAUGGUUGACUUGCAAUUCGGUCCCUAAUAACAUAUGUCCCUCCUAGUUGCGAGUUGAUGGUUAACUUGUAAAGUGGUUGUUUGUAGGCGCCUCCGUCCCCGUCAGCUCGGAGUUGCAUUCUUCGGUUCCCAGCUUGUCGGCGUCGCCGGUAGCCGCCCCUCCUCCACAUCGGCUCUCCGCUCCGGCGCCCCGAGCCCCCGACCCCGUUCACUUUGGCGCCUCGUCCUUGAGUCAGAUCCAAAGCUCGCGUUUUUGUCAAUUACCUGCGCCACACUUCGACGGCAGAUGCAUCCCCACUUCUCUGGGUUAGAGGCCUUGACUAGUGGCCUGAAUUCAUCAUCUCCGGAUCCUACUCUGGUGACGCAUGAGGUUGCUCGGACUUAGGCCAGGGUGAAAUCUCUGCUCGAUUUGCCGAUGCUGGCAGUGGUGGCACUCGUGGAUGUCGUGUCCCUUUUUGGAGGCACUGCCAUGGCCUUUAUCUGAGCCCCUAUUCGAGCAAUGAGGGAAACCUCAGGUCCGGUUCUUCGGAUCGGAUGGUGAUGACGUCACGACGUCGCUCCCCUUCUUGAAGGAGCCAUCAUGUUUGCUCGAGGCGUCCUCAAUGUUUGGCUUUUGAGAUGUUUGAUGCGUACUGGUUUGGCUUGCCUCUUCCGGGCUUCAUGGGUUAGGCAGUGUUUUUCUCUCUCUUUAGGCCGAGCAUCCCUUGCCUCUGCUCUGGGUGUCAUGUUCACGUCUUCUUGCUUUCGUGUCAUGUGUUGUAUCAUUCUCUGUACUCAUUCUGCUUCCUUCUAUCAAUGAAGUGAUAUGCAAGCUUUGCGUAUUCGCGAAAAAAAAUCCGAUCCAACAUGUUAAUUUCUUUCAAGAUUCCACCACCAUACAUUAGUGUGAAAAACAAAAAGAAUGUGUAAGUUGUUCUAUAACAUUUGAUAUACGUAUGUGAAAAACUGAAAAAUGUGGAAAUGGAGAAAAUAAAAAACGUUCAAAAAACGCAAGCCAUGGAUUUACCAAAACUGAAGCAAUCAAAUGUAUUCCUCAAAUUUCUUCAGGGUCAAUGUACUGGUACCAUUUUACACACUUAUUUUUUAUUAAUUAUUUUAACCCACAGAAUGCACAAGGGAGCAUAUUUUUUUAUUAACUUGCAAUAUGCAGAUAGUAUAUUUUAAACUCGUAAAACACCUUUUUAUUCAUUUGUUAUCCAGAUUACACGGUUCACUAGAUGAGUACAGUAGACUCAUGAGCGACGAGUUGGCCUCCCAGUUUUCAUGCUCAUAUACCACCUUUGAUAACUCCCGGGCGAGGUAAUAACAACCGUUUAAAAUCGCUUCUAUAAUGCGUCGGCAGAAUACCUGCUGUUUCCUCAAAAAUAAAUAAAUCCUGCAGCCUGCACUUCCUCUUUCAUGAUAUAGACCACCUCCACAUUAUCUGAGAUGAAAGAUGAUCAGAAGUGCAGAACUCAGUGGUAACCAAUAGAUUCAGCUAAACACAGUCCCUUCUCUAGCGACCAAGCUUCGGCCGAGCAAACAUUACACACGUCAGGGGCGUCAAAUGCAUCCCACAGAGAUCUUACAGAGAUGUUGUACACUUGUACCACUCAAAUCCUCGAUGCAUCAUAUUCUCUAAUGAUCUUAUUGGGCAUUAGAUCACCGGUUCUGUUGUACCUCCUCAACAUCUAGAUCCUUUCCCAUUGUUAUCCUCAAAACCAAAGUUGCUGUGUAAGCCAUUGAGCAUGGGAGCGCCCAUGUAUUUAUGUAAUGGGUGUAGAUGGCCGGAUGGAUACAGGUUGUACUACCUCAGUAGCCACACGCGUUGUUAAUUUGUUAUCCAGGACUUGAGUGUUCACGUCCGUGAGUACAACAGACAUUUAUAAAAGCUCGCAGUUGUAUGCCAAGAGAUUGAAAAUGCACAUAUUUAUGGGGAUGUAUUUGUCUCUUUUUUUGUAGCCAACAAAUGAAAUAUUUUUAGUCAUAAUUUUUUUCCACUUUAAAGCUUCUAAAUUCGUUUUUUAGUUGGGCUCCAUGGAAUCCGUGGCAAGGAUGGAUGGGUUGAAGAUGGGAUACCCCGGUUAAUAUGUAAUAGUACAUAUUUGGAGAGCAUUAAAUCCAACCCAAUAUGUUAUUUCCUUUUAAAAUUCCAUCGCUAUUUAUAAAACUAGAUGACCCGUCGUCUUCUUGGCGCAAAGUCUAAUUGCAGACAAGAAUGCAACCAAAAGGCCACUUGAACUAUUUGAAGGAUUUUUCCCUAUAAUUAUCUGCUAACUAUGAUGUCAAUGACUAUCUUCAUGUUGUGUUAUUUUACAUUCAUCCUUUGUUGUCGUAGCACAUUAAGGAGCAUCAAAUGAAUGCAUACCGAUCAAGGUAACCCAAUCGGACAAACCGAGUAGUACUGACUCAAACCCGAACAAACUGAGAAGUAGACUCCCCAACGACCUGCUAGCAGGCUACCACUCAAAAAAAAAAAAAAACAACACACCAAAAGUGGUCGGAACUGUAAAGCAAGGACCGUCCACUGGCCCAGCAACAGAGCAGGAGAGGUGUUCGACGUAAGGCAACCUGGCGCACGCUAAGGCCAACUCCACCGCGCGACUCCAAACGGACGUCCGUUUUGUCUUGUUUUUGUCCCUUUGGGUAGGGAUUUGGGGUCGUGUCCGAGCCUGUCCUGGGAUGCGGUGGCCGUGCGCCCAGCGCACGGCCGCAUCCUUUUGCCCCAUCCUGUCCGUCAGGGCCAAGAAUUGCCCAAAUUUGCAUUAAAACUAGUUUCGAACCCAAAUAUUUGUCUAAAAAUUAAAAUAGUUUUACAACCCAAUUGAAAUUGUCUUUAAUAAAAUAGUUUUACAACCAAAUCGAAAUUGUCUUGACUGAACAUAAAAUGGACAAAUACAUCUAUUGGUUGCCAACGUGAUCCCACACGUGCUCAACCAAGUCAUUUUGAAGAUUCACAUGAGUGUGCCAAUCACGCAUCUCACGGUGGAAUUGGGCAAACUGUUCAAAUGUGGCCGGGUCUUGGUGCAGGGGCUCAAUAUUUUCACCUUGAUAAUCAAAUCCUUGGUCGAAGAUACUCUCAUCACGCUCGUCCUCGACGAUCAUGUUGUGCAUGAUCACACAAGCAGUCAUCACCUCCCAAAGCUUCCUUUCAUCCCAUGACAGUGCAGGGUUUCGGACGAUACCCCACCGGGAUUGAAUCACACCAAAAGCACGUUCCACAUCCUUUCUAACACUCUCUUGCAUUUGGGCAAAUCUCUUUCUCUUCUCACCUUGAGGUUUCGAGAUUGUCUUCACAAAAGUUGACCACUGAGGAUAUAUACCAUCUGCUAGAUAGUAUCCCUUGUUGUAAUGGUGGCUAUUGAUCUCAAAGUUGACAGGUGGGGAGUGGCCUUCUGCAAGCCUCGCGAAGACUGGAGAACGCUGCAGCACGUUGAUAUCAUUGUGAGAACCUGCCAUGCCGAAGAAAGAAUGCCAUAUCCAAAAAUCUUGUGAUGCCACCGCUUCUAAUAUGACAGUGCACCCAUUAACAUGCCCCUUGUACUGGCCCUGCCAAGCAAAUGGACAGUUCUUCCACUCCCAGUGCAUACAAUCUAUGCUGCCAAGCAUACCUGGAAAGCCUCUAGCUGCGUUGGUCACCAACAAUCUCUCUGUAUCAGCGGCAGUUGGCUGCCUCAAGUACUCUGGGCCAAAGACCUCGAUCACAGCCUGGCAAAACUUGUACAUUGACAUCAGACAUGUUGUCUCACUCAUACGCACAUACUCAUCCACUAGAUCGCCUGGAAUUCCAUAUGCAAGCAUGCGGAUGGCCACGGUGCAUUUCUAGUAGGAGGAGAAUCCAAGCUUGCCAAGGGCAUCCGUCUUGCACUUGAAGUAUGGGUCAUGAGCAACCACUCCCUCUCGGAUACGAUUGAACACAUGCCUGGCCAUACGAAAACGGCGACGAAAUUUAUCCGGCCUGAAGAGCGGGGUGUUGGCAAAGUAAUCUGCAUAGAGCAGGGCGUGGCCUCUCUCCCUGUUGCGAUUCAGGUUGGGAGCACGGCCAGGGACUGACCCCCUAUACCGAGGAAGCUGCCGUUGAAUAUGGUCGUGAACGACCAGUGCAGCCACCACAAGAUCGUCAUCAUCCGACGACGAAUCGUCCGAUGAACAAAGGAAGUGAUGGUAGAAAAACUCAUCUCCACUGUCCAUACCUCUGUUGGCAAAAGGUCGAACACCUUGCGCUUGUGGUGGCGAAGAGGCCGCGAUGAUCACCUCGACGCAGCAGGGUGGUUGCCGGCCGGCUACAGGCCGCUCUGGAGCUCUCGUGGGAAUCUGCCUCGGCCGCCGUGGUACGUCGCCGGCAGUCGUGUCCCCUCUGCCACCGGCAAGGACGGCGAGGGACAAACUUCCUCCGGUCGACGACCAAAACUACAGCGGAAGCGCGGGCGUGGUGGCGGCCAUGUCGAGACGUGGUUUGGUACGGACGGCGGGGGGGCUGCGCGGUGAGGAGGCGGCCGGAGAAUAGCGGCGGCGCCGGCGGCGGGGCGGGGCGGGGAGAGAGGAUGAAGCGUUGGGAGUGGAGGGACUGCUAGUGUCCCCGACAGGCGGGCCAUGGGGGGGACAAGGGCGUGCGUCGAGGCCGUCCGCGCGCGUCCGUUUCACCCCAAACCGAGCGCAAGUUUGGGCUAGGGAUGGGUCGAAAGCGGAUGGAAUCCGGACAUUUGUCCGUUUGCGCCCGCGCGCUGGGCCGUCUCGUUUGUCCCUUUUACCCCAAAUGGACGGGGGCGGACGGGAUAGGGUCGCGCGGUGGAGUUGGCCAAACAACUGAGUAAGCCGUGGAGCUGGCCACUCGGCCGUCCCUGACACGUGUACCGAGGCCACCCCACCAGGGCAACCACGUUUGCCGCUGCUUCCCUCGCCUCGUGUGUGCUGCCCCGUGCCUUGGUGAUGGGGCCUGAUGUUUGUCAAAACGAGCCACUUUUGGCGAUGGAUCCUUUAUCCGGGGUUAGGCUAGCAGUAACUUAGACUAAUGUCAUGCAUAUGACACUAGUUUAAGUUACUAUCUCCAUAGUGCAAAUUAACAUAGUAUUAGUGUUAUAUAUAGCUUCAUUAAUUAGCUUGUAGACUCAUCCUUUCUCGGGAAACGCUAUGUUACAGUAACAUAUUAUGUUACUGUAAACACCUUUUUCCUCAUUAAGUAUAAGCCAUAUAAGCAAUUUUUUUUUUGAAAUGCGCUAUGUUACUAUCUAAGUUACUUUCACUAUGACUAGCCUUAGUGGGGUCCUCCUGCUGGCGGUAUUACAACUGAUAGAGCAGCUUACGGCAAUAAAUCCUCUAUCCCGGGUCAGAGGGGUGCUCCUCCUGCCCACACUACCGCUGGUAUCGGAGGAGGGUCAUGGGGAAAGAGCAAUGAAGAUAGCUGGAAUUCGCCAAAAGGAACCAGGGCUCAGGUAUGACCACCGAGGAUCCUUCACUGCAAAGAGUGAGAAAACACUCAAAUUUGUUUUAGCUUCUAAGUGGUUUCACCAUUUCCCCCCCUGGCCCUAGCCUCCAUCAAUUUUCUCCCACCUCAGUCUGUUCAAUGCCCCUGUCUAUUGACAUUUCUUAUGCUAAUCUUACAAUCCAAUUCGAAGCGCUAAAUCUCUCUCCCGUGCCAUUUCAGAAGGUGGUUCGAAGAAGGAAGGAUCCUGGGACAAGGCUGAAGGGAGCGGGAGCCAAGGCGGAGGUGGCGGCAGUUCUUGGGACAAGGUGGCCAGUGGCGGAUGGGACAGCAACAAGGGCGGGGAUGCCGGCAAUGGUGGUGGCAGUGGGUGGUAAGCUUGUUCCAAAAUCAGCUGUGCCUGAUUUUGGCGUGUACAUAAGGGUUAGCGCUAUGCAGGUCUCAGCGCUCUAGCACUUUGUGCUGGUUGGUUCCAUUGGCCGUGCGACCUGAACCUUUAGAAGAACAUGGCCUAGCUGGGCAAAACGUCCCCUCAUGCUGGCAGUAAUAUACUAGUAGUGCCAGCAGAACGUUUCGUGGUACCUGCAGUAACUUAUAAGUACCUUAAAUCCUAUCGUGUCUGAGAUUUCCAUGUGGUCUUUGCCUGGUUGCUAUUGCUAUGUGAUGGCGACGCCCUAGGCUGGAUGCAAGUGUAUUUUUCGCAAGUAGCUCUUAGUUUUUUAUGAGUGUUAUCAUUUCCAUUGGCUUAGUUAGAUUUGGGUGCGUGCUCUACUGUUUAUGAUGACUUUUAAGGUUUUCAAAAAUAGGCCCAUUUGAAAACACAUUGCAAAAAUUAAAAUCCUGCUCUGUUUUCUUUCUCACAUGUGCGUCUCUUUUGUGUAGCCUACAAAUGAGAAUUAUUUUGGUCAAAUUUUGUGGAUAUAAAUAGGGCAUCUAAACACAUGAUGGAUUUUUUUUCAUUUUUUUUGGGCUUCUAGCUUUGUAAUUUCUUUGUUAUUUUUAUAAAAACUCCUCCAUGGAAUCUCCGAACUAAACGCCCAAACUCUGUUCUAUGGGCUUAUUUUGUUU
rnacentral:lncRNA from 1 species